rnacentral:rRNA from 1 species
AUUGAACGCUGGCGGCAGGCCUAACACAUGCAAGUCGAGCGGAUGAAGGGAGCUUGCUCCUGGAUUCAGCGGCGGACGGGUGAGUAAUGCCUAGGAAUCUGCCUGUUAGUGGGGGAUAACGUCCGGAAACGGGCGCUCAUACCGCAUACGUCCUGACGGCGAACGUGGGGGAUCUUCGGACCUCACGCUAUCAGAUGAGCCUAGGUCGGAUUAGCUAGUUGGUGGGGUAAAGGCCUACCAAGGCGACGAUCCGUAACUGGUCUGAGAGGAUGAUCAGUCACACUGGAACUGAGACACGGUCCAGACUCCUACGGGAGGCAGCAGUGGGGAAUAUUGGACAAUGGGCGAAAGCCUGAUCCAGCCAUGCCGCGUGUGUGAAGAAGGUCUUCGGAUUGUAAAGCACUUUAGGUUGGGAAGAAGAGCAGUAGGUUAAUACCUCGCUGUUUUGACGUUACCAACAGAAUAAGCACCGGCUAACUUCGUG